rnacentral:rRNA from 1 species
CCUACGGGUGGCAGCAGUGAGGAAUAUUGGUCAAUGGCCGGAAGGCUGAACCAGCCAAGCCGCGUGAAGGACGAAGGUGCCAAGCAUUGUAAACUUCUUUUGUCAAGGGACAAAAUCAGGCUCGAGAGCCUGACCGAGGGUACUUGAAGAAAAAGCAUCGGCUAACUCCGUGCCAGCAGCCGCGGUAAUACGGAGGAUCCAAGCGUUAUCCGGAUUUAUUGGGUUUAAAGGGUGCGUAGGCGGAUUGAUAAGUUAGAGGUGAAAUGUCCGAGCUUAACUCGGGAACUGCCUCUAAUACUGUUGAUCUAGAGAGUAGAUGCGGUAGGCGGAAUGUAUGGUGUAGCGGUGAAAUGCUUAGAGAUCAUACAGAACACCGAUUGCGAAGGCAGCUUACCAAUCUAUAUCUGACGUUGAGGCACGAAAGCGUGGGGAGCAAACAGGAUUAGAUACCCCAGUAGUC